UACCAGCACCCCGAGUGGUCGGGACGAUUAUUGGGCCUAAAGCAUCCGUAGCCGGUUUUACAAGUCCUCCGUUAAAUCCAGCUGCUUAACAGAUGGGCUGCGGAGGAUACUACAAGGCUAGGAGGCGGAAGAGGCAAGCGGUACUCAGUGGGUAGGGGUAAAAUCCUCUGAUCCAUUGAAGACCACCAGUGGCGAAGGCGGCUUGCCAAUACGCGCUCGACGUGAGGGAUGAAAGCUGGGGGGAGCAAACCGG
rnacentral:rRNA from 1 species